GACGAACGCUGGCGGCGUGCUUAACACAUGCAAGUCGAACGGAAAGGCCCUGCUUUUGUGGGGUGCUCGAGUGGCGAACGGGUGAGUAACACGUGAGUAACCUGCCCUUGACUUUGGGAUAACUUCAGGAAACUGGGGCUAAUACCGGAUAGGAGCUCCUGUUGCAUGGUGGGGGUUGGAAAGUUUCGGCGGUUGGGGAUGGACUCGCGGCUUAUCAGCUUGUUGGUGGGGUAGUGGCUUACCAAGGCUUUGACGGGUAGCCGGCCUGAGAGGGUGACCGGCCACAUUGGGACUGAGAUACGGCCCAGACUCCUACGGGAGGCAGCAGUGGGGAAUAUUGCACAAUGGGCGGAAGCCUGAUGCAGCAACGCCGCGUGCGGGAUGACGGCCUUCGGGUUGUAAACCGCUUUCGCCUGUGACGAAGCGUGAGUGACGGUAAUGGGGAAAGAAGCACCGGCUAACUACGU
rnacentral:rRNA from 1 species